AUUGAACGCUGGCGGCAUGCCUUACACAUGCAAGUCGAACGGCAGCACGGGGCAACCUGGUGGCGAGUGGCGAACGGGUGAGUAAUGCAUCGGAACGUGCCAUUGAGUGGGGGAUAACGUAGCGAAAGUUGCGCUAAUACCGCAUAUUCUGUGAGCAGGAAAGCAGGGGACCGCAAGGCCUUGCGCUCUUUGAGCGGCCGAUGUCAGAUUAGCUAGUUGGUGAGGUAACGGCUUACCAAGGCGACGAUCUGUAGCGGGUCUGAGAGGAUGAUCCGCCACACUGGAACUGAGACACGGUCCAGACUCCUACGGGAGGCAGCAGUGGGGAAUUUUGGACAAUGGGCGCAAGCCUGAUCCAGCCAUGCCGCGUGUCUGAAGAAGGCCUUCGGGUU
rnacentral:rRNA from 1 species